UUGGAGGGCAAGUCUGGUGCCAGCAGCCGCGGUAAUUCCAGCUCCAAUAGCGUAUAUUAAAGUUGUUGCAGUUAAAAAGCUCGUAGUUGAAUUUCGGGAUCAAUGUUUCGGUCAUGCCGUUGGUAUGUACUGAUAUUAUUGAUUUCUCACCUUCUAAAGAACCGUAAUGCCAUUAAUUUGGUGUCACGGGGAAUUAGGACUGUUACCUUGAAAAAAUUAGAGUGUUUAAAGCAGGCUCACGCUUGAAUACAUUAGCAUGGAAUAAUGAAAUAGGACAUCCGAUUCUAUUUUGUUGGUUUCUAGGAUCGAUGUAAUGAUUAAUAGGGAUAGUUGGGGGCAUUAGUAUUCAAUUGUCAGAGGUGAAAUUCUUGGAUUUAUUGAAGACUAACUACUGCGAAAGCAUUUGCCAAGGAUGUUUUCAUUAAUCAAGAACGAAAGUUAGGGGAUCGAAGACGAUCAGAUACCGUCGUAGUCUUAACCAUAAACUAUGCCGACUAGGGAUCGGAUGAUGUUAAUUUUUUAAUGACUCAUUCGGCGCCUUACGGGAAACCAAAGUGUUUGGGUUC
rnacentral:rRNA from 2 species